CGCGGGAUGGAGCAGCAUGGUAGCUCGUCGGGCUCAUAACCCGAAGGUCGGAGGUUCAAAUCCUUCUCCCGCUACCA
rnacentral:tRNA from 4 species